CCAAUAGCGUAUAUUAAAGUUGUUGCAGUUAAAAAGCUCGUAGUUGAAUUUCGGGAUCAGUACGCUGGUCAUGCCUUUGGUAUGCACUGGUGUCACUGGUUUCUCCCUUCUGAAGAUCCGUGAUGUCAUUAAUUUGGUGUCGCGGGGAAUCAGGACUGUUACUUUGAAAAAAUUAGAGUGUUUAAAGCAGGCUCACGCUUGAAUACAUUAGCAUGGAAUA
rnacentral:rRNA from 1 species